GUAACAAAUUGAACCAGAGCGAAUAGAACGUCGGAACGGCGCCCCCCAUAAGGCGACGUAAUGAAUGAAAACCCGGCCACAUGAUGCGGAAACUGGUUUUGGAUCAAGAUGUUACGCUAAAAGAACAUGUUAAUGUGGGUAUGAUGUCCUGGUAAAGAGGCUCAGCCCAAAACAUCAAGUGUUUAUUCCCCUCCAUAGAAGUUGCCUGACUCAGUGAGUUCCUCCAACACGGGGCAGACCUUCCGGGGACAAUCUGAUGUCACGUCUGCCCCGCGGGUUGCAAGGGCCCAUGGGAGGGGAGAUUUAAGCACGCAAUUUUGAAUCAGUAAAGGCAUUCUGAGUUCAGCUCUCUCUGCCUUUGUGCUUUUCUUUAGUAGCGUGUUGCACGCGACUACAUUAAGAAGUUAAAGAUGAAAUACAAAAAUAA